GAUGAAGAACGUAGCGAAAUGCGAUAAGUAACGUGAAUUGCAGAAUUCAGUGAAUCAUCGAAUCUUUGAACGCACAUUGCGCCCCUUGGUAUUCCGAGGGGCAUGCCUGUUCGAGCGUCAUUAUAACCCCUCAAGCUCAGCUUGGUGUUGGGGCCUGCCGCACGGGCAGCCCUUAAAAUCAGUGGCGGUGCCAUCUGGCUCUAAGCGUAGUAAUUCUUCUCGCUAUAGAGUCCCGGUGGAUGCUUGCCAUUAACCCCCAAUUUUCUAUGGUUGACCUCGGAUCAGGUAGGGAUACCCGCUGAACUUAAGCAUAUCAAUAAGCGGAGGA
rnacentral:misc_RNA from 1 species